rnacentral:Y_RNA from 1 species
GGCUGGUCCCAGUGCAGUGGUGUUNNCAACUAAUUGAUCACAACCGGUUACAGAUUUCUUUGUUCCUUCUCCAUUCCCACUGCUUUACUUGACUAGCCUUAA